AGAGGCAGCUUCAGCUCCGGCGUGCGACAUUUGGGACUGUGUAACCAUGACGAGUGUUCUCCAAACAAUAAUAACGGCACCCCAUGCGCUCCAGGUUGCCACUGUGUCUCCUCUAACGAAAAAGGCGGAGGAAAGGGACAUUGUUGGCGUUUGCCAGAAUCAGAGGUAAAGGAGCUGAAAAAUCAAUAAAGAGACAGCAGAUGCUGUCAUUCAGUCCUU